rnacentral:rRNA from 1 species
CAGUAGCCGCGGUAAUACGAAGGGGGCUAGCGUUACUCGGAAUUACUGGGCGUAAAGGGCGCGUAGGCGGCACGAUUAGUCAGGCGUGAAAUUCCUGGGCUCAACCUGGGGACUGCGCUUGAUACGGUCGAGCUAGAGGAUGGAAGAGGGUUGUGGAAUUCCCAGUGUAGAGGUGAAAUUCGUAGAUAUUGGGAAGAACACCGGUGGCGAAGGCGGCAACCUGGUCCAUUACUGACGCUGAGGCGCGACAGCGUGGGGAGCAAACAGGAUUAGAUACCCCCGUAGUCCCUGUCUCUUAUAC